UACGUAGGGUGCGAGCGUUGUCCGGAUUUAUUGGGCGUAAAGAGCUCGUAGGCGGCUUGUCACGUCGAUUGUGAAAGCCCGAGGCUUAACCUCGGGUCUGCAGUCGAUACGGGCUAGCUAGAGUGUGGUAGGGGAGAUCGGAAUUCCUGGUGUAGCGGUGAAAUGCGCAGAUAUCAGGAGGAACACCGGUGGCGAAGGCGGAUCUCUGGGCCAUUACUGACGCUGAGGAGCGAAAGCUAGGGGAGCAAACGGG
rnacentral:rRNA from 1 species